UCGCCGGAUCGGUCAGGUUGAGCAGGAACGUGAUGCUGCCGUUGUCGCGGACGAACCGGUCCCGGUGCGGCCCCGGCAUCCGCGACCC
rnacentral:tRNA from 1 species